AGAAAGUUUGAUUUUGGCUUAUCAAAUUUGCUUUUUUUUAAUUGUACAUGUAUAUUUUUGUGUGUUAAGUUUAUCUAAAUGUGGAUAAUUUGUAUUCGCAGUUCUUUGUUUUAUUUAUUAUAUAGGUAUUGAAUUAGUUAAAUGAUAAAGCUCUGACCAAUAUUGUGCCAGCAGUCGCGGUUAUACAAUAAGAGCGAGUGAAUUUGUUUUGAUUUAUAUUUAAUUUUAUUGAUAUUAUUUAAAUUUUAAUUUGUUGGGGUGAAAUCAAUAUUUUUUGUUGGAUAGUUUUUAUGAUUAAAUAUGAAAGUUCAGGAUGAAACUGGGAUUAGAGACCCCAUUAUUAUGAAUUGUAAAUUUAUAAUCUUAGUAUUAAUAGUUAUGAUCUUUAAAUUUAAAGAAUUUGGCGGUAAUUUAGUCUGUUCAGAGGAAUCUGCCCUAUAAUCGAUAACCCACGAUAAAUUUUACUUUAUUUAGGCUUGUAUAUCGCUGUCAUUGAAUGUCUUAUUAGGGGAUUUUCUUUAAUCAUUGAUAUGGAUAAUGUCAGGUCAAGGUGCAGCUAUAUUAAAGUAGAGGUGGAUUACAUUUAAUUUAUUUAUGGAUAAGUAGUAUGGAAAUAGCUUUGAAAUUGGAUUUGAAAGUAACUUUUAUUAUAAUAUAAAAUUGAUUUAGCUCUAAAUUAUGCACAUAUCGCCCGUCACUCUCGUUAUUUAAAAUGAGAUAAGUCGUAACAAAGUAGGUUUACUGGAAGGUGGGCCUGGUUUUAU
rnacentral:ncRNA from 1 species